ACAUCUGUUGUUCUGCCUCUGAACAAGGCAGUUUAACCCACUGUUACUAGGACGUCAUUGUUAAUAAGAUAGCCUAGUGGUUAGAACCAGGUAGCCUAGUGGUUAGAACCAGGUAGCCUAGUGGUUAGAACCAGGUAGCCUAGUGGUUAGAACCAGGUAGCCUAGUGGUUAGAGGAGGCAGGUAGCCUAGUGGUUAGAGGAGGCAGGUAGCCUAGUGGUUAGAGGAGGCAGGUAGCCUAGUGGUUAGAGGAGGCAGGUAGCCUAGUGGUUAGAGGAGGCAGGUAGCCUAGUGGUUAGAGGAGGCAGGUAGCCUAGUGGUUAGAGGAGGCAGGUAGCCUAGUGGUUAGAGGAGGCAGGUAGCCUAGUGGUUAGAGGAGGCAGGUAGCCUAGUGGUUAGAGGAGGCAGGUAGCCUAGUGGUUAGAGGAGGCAGGUAGCCUAGUGGUUAGAGGCAGGUAGCCUAGUGGUUAGAGGCAGGUAGCCUAGUGGUUAGAGGCAGGUAGCCUAUUGGUUAGAGGAGGCAGGUAGCCUUUUGGUUAGAGGAAGCAGGUAGCCUAGUGGUUAGAGGCAGGUAACCUAGUGGUUAGAGGAGGCAGGUAGCCUAGUGGUUAGAACCAGGUAGCCUAGUGGUUAGAGCAUUGGGCCAGUAACCGAAAGGUAAAAAUCUGUUCUGCCCCUGAACAAGGCAGUUGUUCCUCGGACGUCAUUGUUAAUAAGAAUUUGUUCUUAACUGACUUGCCUAGUUAAAUAAAAAAUACUGACAAAGCCAAUAACAGGAUUCUCACAAGUUCCAGU